UACGUAGGGUGCAAGCGUUGUCCGGAAUUAUUGGGCGUAAAGAGCUUGUAGGCGGUUUGUCGUGUCUGCUGUGAAAUUUCGGGGCUCAACCCCGAACUUGCAGUGGGUACGGGCAGACUAGAGUGUGGUAGGGGAGACUGGAAUUCCUGGUGUAGCGGUGAAAUGCGCAGAUAUCAGGAGGAACACCGAUGGCGAAGGCAGGUCUCUGGGCCACUACUGACGCUGAGAAGCGAAAGCAUGGGGAGCGAACAGG
rnacentral:rRNA from 1 species